AUUAGGGUAUGACUGAGGGGGGAUCACAAGAUGGGCCACAUUAGUAAAUUGGAUCUGGGCCCUGGCAAGGCAGGCACUAGGGUCAGAAAUUAGGGUGCUUAUCUGUUUUACCAAGGAUUUGGUCUCCAUCACCUCCUGUUUAUUUACUUGUCCAUAGAUCUGCCUGCAUGUCUGCAGCAGAGCUGGAGAUCACUGGAAGCAAAGAAACUAGGAGGAAGUUGUAUCUGAUCAGUAAAGACUGGUCCAAACAUCUCAUGAGUCUAUAAAUCUACUUUAGCGUGUAUCACCAAGCAAGAGAAGGAAAGAGGAGGGAACUUCCUUGGAUUGUUACAGGUCUACCUCCAGUGGGAGCUGUAGUGGCCUUUGAGUGACUGAAGACCAGCACCCUCACAGGCCUACACCCAGACCUAUCACUCUCUUUCCCCAGGCCAAGUGAGCUCC